UACAGAGGUCUCAAGCGUUGUUCGGAUUCAUUGGGCGUAAAGGGUGCGUAGGCGGCGCGGUAAGUCGGGUGUGAAAUCUCGGAGCUUAACUCCGAAACUGCAUUCGAUACUGCCGUGCUUGAGGACUGGAGAGGAGACUGGAAUUUACGGUGUAGCGGUGAAAUGCGUAGAUAUUAGGAGGAACACCAGUGGCGAAGGCGGCUUGCUGGACGACAACUGACGCUGAGGCGCGAAAGCGUGGGGAGCAAACAGG
rnacentral:rRNA from 1 species